UCUCCUCUCAUGCUCUCCCAUCUAAAUACGUAAGAUUUGAUUAGCCAACAGUAUAGCUAGCUGCCAGAGCCCCCAAUAGUACAGCGUCAGGCCAAUAUUUUCAGAGAUUAUAGAUUAUUAUAGCUCCAGUGAAGUAAGGUAAGUAACGCACAUCAAAUAACUAGCUCAUUUGGUGGGUUAUGAUUCAUAAAUUAUGACCCUAUGCGCACUCAAGUCUAUUCGCGGCACCCCACAGCUGUAGUCUGCUAUUAAGUUUUCUAAAAUACAACGAUUUGGGACUGAUGUCUGUACAUUCUGACUUCACCCUAGUCUACAAGACUGUGUAUUGUGCGUUUUAAUAACAGGUUUGUUUUGUACUAUCUUUAAGACCUGUGCAAUGACAAUUGCCAAACUUAUUACUUCAAUAGCAAGGACUGAUAUUCAGGACUUGUCAGCCAGUACCACUGUAGCCUUGCAAAGACUUUGCUUUGAAGACCUUUUAAUGAACUAACUUCAACAUUUCAAUAUGCCCCUGACUUCUAAGGGGUGUUUAUAUUUGUCACUACUCCAAAAAGCCUAGAAUUAUAUCAGUAGAACAUCACAUUAUUCUUUUCUGUUUGCAGGAAGAUUUGGUGUUGAUGGAGGAGGCAACAUCUUCAAGGCAAAACCUUAGACCUGAUGCAACAUCAUCCAGUGUCAAAAUCACCCUUUAGGAGGCACUUGAAGACCAGUGCCCAAUAUGCACAGGAACAUUUCCAGUGUCAGAAGUAGACCUGCCAUGCCAGCUUUUGUUGAGACAGGCUCUCCAAGGAAGGUGAUUUUCAGGAGAUUGACUGGAAUUCCUGGUUUUUUAUGUUUCCACAACUUCAGAAGUGUUAUCUCGUGACAGACUUCAGAUGUCUUUGUGGUGUUUAUCUGUGCUGCUGCAUGA